rnacentral:lncRNA from 1 species
CGAAACGAGCGUAGCUUCCUUGUCGUGUGGCCUCAGUCCUUCGCCGUCCCUCGCCGUCCUUCGCCAUCGCACGCCACCGCACCCCAUCUCUCGAAAUCUGCAGACAUCUUGAUUUUUCCCACGCUGUCUGUCAGGUCUCCGCCGCCACUCGACGCCAGGGCGCCGGGUGAGUCCACAGCAGGGCGCAUGGUCGGCUCCACUCUCACCAUCGGGGGAAACUGAGGCCCCGGGGAAGGCGGCCAGAGAGGUCAGGCCCUGUCCUUGGUGCAGUGUCUCGUCCUCUUUGCCGGAGUGAGCCCCCCAGGAUUCGCGUGUCCUCGGGAAAGACACUGGCAGGCCUUGUGGGCUGUGCUGCACCUCGGACGGCUUCGCACCAGCCAGCGCCCUCUCUCUCCUGCAGCACUCUGAUCUGCACCCCCUGAGGGGCUUCCACUGUCCGCGGGGUGAGAAUGCCCCUGGGAGUGUCACAUGACUGCCGCCCCAUGUGUGUGAGAGGCGUCCUCUGGGAGAGCAUGGAUCCUGAGGUCCCAGGAUUGUCAGCUGACCUCUGUCCUGUGUGCCCAGUGGCCCCAGGUGACGUGUCUUCAAGAAGAGGCUGAGCUGCGGUGCUUGUAAGAGUCAUGUGCUGUUCCUGGGGCUUGGAUGAUGUAGGGGAAGCAAGGUGAAAGUGGUAUCCCGUGGUUCCACGUUCUGUCCUGCUGUGGGGCUGUCCCUCACAUGCUUUCAGUGGCUGUUGCAGAGGAAGAGCCUCCGGAAAUCUGCGUCUCAGCCUUAGAUCCAAGGACAGUCCAAGGAAGUCCUAAGACCAUGGAGUUGGUGAUCUGGGAUCUGGGUUUGCUGAUAUUUCUCACCGUGAAUCUCUUGGUGGUGUUUGUGGGCACGAGAGGGGCAGAGAAUGGAGAGUGAGGCUACCACAUGAAGCGUCACCAGAGCUGCUCCCUGCUGCCUGCUCAGAGCACCCCGGAUCCACUGUUCAAUCUGCACAAGAUUCGGGGUCCAGACAUGGGAGACUUCAGCUGCCUCAGAGGACCGUGGACAGGGAAGGCCAGCCUCGCAUCCCUCUGUCCAUGCCUGGAAUGACUUUAAUAACCAAGAGUUUUAUUUUUGAAUUUGUAGCUGUCGUUCACUUUUUACCCACCCAUUCAAUAAACCUUACAGAAUUGCUC